rnacentral:rRNA from 1 species
AGUCACUGACAUUAGAUACCCCCGUAGUCCAGGGUGUAAACGCUGCAGACUUGGUGUUGGAAGUCCUUUGGGGGCAUUCAGUGCCGGAGAGAAGUUGUUAAGUCUGCUACUUGGGAGUACGUCCGCAAGGAUGAAACUUAAAGGAAUUGGCGGGGGAGCACCGCAACGGGAGGAGCGUGCGGUUUAAUUGGAUUCAACACCGUAAACUCACCAGGGAAGACUGUUACAUGAAAGCCGAGAUGAAGACUCUGCUAGAUUUUCAG